rnacentral:rRNA from 1 species
GCUAACCAGUUAGCCAAACCCCUGGAUCAACCCAACAAUAACAACCCUCCCCUCAUAAACCCACAACCACAAAACAAAUCAUUUUUCCCUCCCAGUACGAGCGACAGAAAAGAAACUUUGAGCAAUACAGAAAGUACCGCAAGGGAAUACUGAAAAAGGAGUGAAAUAACCUAAAAAGCCCUAAAUAACAGAGACAAGUUCUCGUACCUUUUGCAUCAUGAUUUAGCUAGUACACUUACGCAAAGAGAGUUUUAGUUUAAGCCCCCGAAACUAGACGAGCUACUUCGAGUCAGCCUAACAUAGGGCCAACCCGUCUCUGUAGCAAAAGAGUGGGAAGAACUCCAAGUAGAGGUGAAAAAUCUACCGAGCCUAGUUAUAGCUGGUUGCUUAAAAAAUGGAUAGAAGUUCAGCCUCCCACUUUCAUUAAACCCUAUAAGUAUCACCAAAUAAGGUCAUAGAAAUAAGGAGAGUUAGUCAAAGGAGGUACAGCUCCUUUGACCCAGGAUACAACCUUUCCAGGUGGUUAUGGAAUAUAAUACUAAAGGUAAACUGUUUUAGUGGGCCUAAAAGCAGCCAUCUAAUCAAAAAGCGUUAAAGCUUAGACAGACUAAAACCCCUAAUUUUAUCAAAUAAUCAUACCCCCUAAUCCUACUAAGCCAUUCCACGCCCCCAUGGAAAAGCCUAUGCUAAAAUUAGUAAUAUAGAGAAAACACUUCUCUCCUUGCACACGUGUAAGCCGGACCGGAUAACCCACUGGUAAAUAACGAACCCACUUACGGAGGGGCAUAUAAAUUAAGCCACAAACAAGAAAAACCUAACUACAAUAUCGUUAACCCUACACAGGUGUGCAUAAGGAAAGACUCAAAGGAGAAGAAGGAACUCGGCAAACAUCAGCCUCGCCUGUUUACCAAAAACAUCGCCUCUUGAAAACACCAUAUAAGAGGUCCUGCCUGCCCUGUGACCAUGAGUUCAACGGCCGCGGUAUUUUAACCGUGCAAAGGUAGCGCAAUCACUUGUCUUUUAAAUGAAGACCUGUAUGAAUGGCCCAACGAGGGCUUAACUGUCUCCUUCUCCCAGUCAAUGAAAUUGAUCUCUCCGUGCAGAAGCGGAGUUAACACUAUAAGACGAGAAGACCCCAUGGAGCUUAAGACACUAGGUACCCCUCUCUAAACAAGACUUCCUCCCAGACUUGAAACUACGGGCCUCCACCCUACUUGUCUUCGGUUGGGGCGACCACGGAGGAAAAACCAGCCUCCCAGUGGACCAAGAGUAUAACUCUCACAAGUUAGACCCACAAGUCUAAAUCACAGAACUUCUGACCAAAAUGAUCCGGCUACCGCCGAUUAACGAACCAAGUUACCCUGGGGAUAACAGCGCAAUCCUCUCCCAGAGUUCCUAUCGACGAGGGGGUUUACGACCUCGAUGUUGGAUCAGGACAUCCUAAUGGUGCAGCCGCUAUUAAGGGUUCGUUUGUUCAACGAUUAAAGUCCUACGUGAUCUGAGUUCAGACCGGAGAAAUCCAGGUCGGUUUCUAUCUAUAAACUAAUCUUUCCUAGUACGAAAGGGCCGGAAAGUAGAGGCCUCUACCUUAGGCAUGCCUCACCCCUAACCUAUGAAAUCAACUAAAAUAGGAAGGGGGACCACCCAAACAGCCUGAAAUAAAGGCUU